AAUAUUUUUAGCAAAAUUCAAGAAAGAGAAAUUCAACAUUCAUUCAUCUGGAAUCUCAACUUUCGUAUGCACACUAGGAAAGAGGAACGCAAACCCUAUAUCACAAACAACAAAUUCAAAACUCGCGAAAAUUUGAACAAUCGAUUCACCAAUUUCAAACCCCUUUCGGCUUACUCGGGAAUCCUAGAAAACACUUCUCAAUCGAUUCAUCUGCGAAUCCUUUUAUUGUUGGAAUUUUCCGCCAAUCGCAAGCCCUUCAAAUCGCAAACAGUCCCUUCAUAAAUUGCAAAACCUUCGUUAAUUGAUUCUAUUUUUCGAGUGUUUGAGUCUCAAGGUGUUUAUACUCAUCUCUAAUCAGAGCAGAGUUUUGGGGUUUUCAUUUGAGUUGGAUAUCAUGGACAAAGGUACCGAUGUCAUAAAUCUGUUACAAGGAAAUGUUAUUCACCUCCGACUUGGCUAUGUUGGCGUUGUAAAUCGUAGUCAAUAGGAUAUUCAAGCUUGGGUGUGGGGUUUAUACUCGAUCGAAUCUGAGCUAACAGUAAAAAGGAAAGAGAUGUGGAAUGAUCUCCGGUCAGUAUUGGAGGGUGUUCAUUUGGUUCAGCUGUGGUGUGAUCUUCAGUUCGGAAUGAUGUUCGUUCAGUAUUGCAGAGUUGUUAAAUCAAGAUUUUAGGGUGUUAUACUUUUUUUCUUAAUUUAGUUCAAUAUCAAAAAGUAAUGUUUGUACUCAAGUAAGACAAAAUGAAGACAAAAUGAAGGUUAUUGAUAUAAUAAAAGAUGUGAAAUUUUCUUAUUCUGAUUUUUUUUUUAAAAUUC